GUGCCAGCAGCGGCGGUAAUACGUAGGUGGCAAGCGUUGUCCGGAAUCAUUGGGCGUAAAGGGCGCGCAGGCGGUUCGGUAAGUCGGUCUUAAAAGUGCGGGGCUUAACCCCGUGAUGGGAUUGAAACUGCCGGACUGGAGUGUCGGAGAGGAAAGCAGAAUUCCUAGUGUAGCGGUGAAAUGCGUAGAUAUUAGGAGGAAUACCAGUGGCGAAAGCGGCUUUCUGGACGACAACUGACGCUGAGGCGCGAAAGCCAGGGGAGCAAACGGGAUUAGAUACCCCGGUAGUCCUGGCCGUAAACGAUGGAUACUAGGUGUAGGAGGUAUCGACCCCCUUCUGUGCCGGAGUUAACGCAAUAGUAUCCCGCCUGGGGAGUACGGCCGUAAGGUUGAAACUCAAAGGAAUUGACGGGGGCCCGCACAAGCGGUGGAGUAUGUGGUUUAAUUCGACGCAACGCGAAGAACCUUACAAGCCUUGACAUUGAGUGCCAGGGAUAGAGAUAUCCUGUUCUUCUUCGGAAGCG
rnacentral:rRNA from 1 species